UUUCCUGUAUGUGAACCUGCGCGCAAGUUGCAUUA
rnacentral:rRNA from 1 species